rnacentral:rRNA from 1 species
ACAACCCUAUGCGGUGGAUCACUUGGCUCGCGAGUCGAUGAAGAGCGCAGCAAACUGCGUGAAUUAAUGUGAUUUGCAGGACACAUUAAUCAUCGAUAUCUUGAACGCAUAUUGCGGUUAUGGAUCGCUUCCAUGACCACGCCUGUCUGAGGGUCGGUAUUAAUAU